UACGUAGGGUGCAAGCGUUAAUCGGAAUUACUGGGCGUAAAGCGUGCGCAGGCGGUGAUGUAAGACAGAUGUGAAAUCCCCGGGCUCAACCUGGGAACUGCAUUUGUGACUGCAUCGCUGGAGUGCGGCAGAGGGGGAUGGAAUUCCGCGUGUAGCAGUGAAAUGCGUAGAUAUGCGGAGGAACACCGAUGGCGAAGGCAAUCCCCCUGGG
rnacentral:rRNA from 1 species